rnacentral:rRNA from 1 species
AUUGAACGCUGGCGGCAGGCUUAACACAUGCAAGUCGAGCGAGCGGCGGACGGGUGAGUAAUGUCUGGGAAACUGCCUGAUGGAGGGGGAUAACUACUGGAAACGGUAGCUAAUACCGCAUACCAUCAGAUGUGCCCAGAUGGGAUUAGCUAGUAGGUGGGGUAAUGGCUCAGCUAGGAGACGAUCCCUAGCGGGUCUGAGAGGAUGACCCGCCAGCCUGGAACUGAUACGCGGUCCAGACUCCUACGGGAGGCAGCAGUGGGGAAUAUUGGACAAUGGACGCAAGCCUGAUGCAGCAAUGCCGCGUGUGUGAAGCAGGCCUUCGGGUGGUAAAGCACUUUCAGCGAGGAGGCGUUACUCGCAGAAGAAGCACCGGCUAACUCCGUGCCAGCAGCCGCGGUAAUUC